UGCUGUCAGCCAGACAGGCUUCUGCAUAACAUCCGGUUUGUGUCAUUUCAAUUCAAGAGGACCCUCGCUCGCUUACAACGCUAGACCAACGCCACGCACAAACGUUCCUUUUCCACGAAUGAGAAGUUCGGUCAACCGGGCGCGUACGUAGAUGCUUGCUGCCGAUCAUCGCCCUCAUGAUGGAAGCAGGAAACACCUAUGAAACUCCGAUAAACUUCAAUCAGGCGACACGAUGUAACAACCCAGUUUCAGCAAAGCAUCUUAAAACCUGAAAACCGGUGGUGGCGCGUGUUAAAGAGUUAUUCACUAAAACGAACCCAAAAAAUUGUAUGCACCAAUUCCAUGUUUUAAGUUUCUGAAGGAAAUCAAGAUAAGUCCUAAAACGAUUUUCGGACA